rnacentral:rRNA from 1 species
AAUGAACGCUGGCGGCGUGCUUAACACAUGCAAGUCGAGCGAGGCCUUGGGGGGCAACUCCCAGAGUCGAGCGGCGGACGGGUGAGUAACACGUGGGUAACCUGCCCGGAAGUGGGGAAUACCUCGGGGAAACUCGAGCUAAUACCGCAUGACAUCUUCGGGACGAAAGUCCUGACGAUCAAAGCGGGGUCGCAAGAUCUCGCGCUACCGGAUGGGCCCGCGCCCGAUUAGCUAGUUGGGAGGUAACGGCGUCACCAAGGCUUCGAUCGGUAACCGGCCUGAGAGGGCGAUCGGUCACACCGGAACUGAGACACGGUCCGGACUCCUACGGGAGGCAGCAGUGGGGAAUCUUGCGCAAUGGGCGAAAGCCUGACGCAGCAACGCCGCGUGGAGGAUGAAGGCCCUUGGGUUGUAAACUCCUGUGGCUGGGAAGAAUCGUUCGGGGUUAAUACCCUCGGACGUUGACUGUACCAGCAAAGGAA